GACAGAGGGUGCAAACGUUGUUCGGAAUUACUGGGCGUAAAGCGUGCGCAGGCGGUUUUGUAAGUUUGUCGUGAAAGCCCCGGGCUCAACCUGGGAAUUGCGAUGAAGACUGCAAGGCUUGAAUCUGGCAGAGGGGGGUAGAAUUCCACGUGUAGCAGUGAAAUGCGUAGAGAUGAUGGAGGAGCACCGAUGGCGAAGGCAGCCCCUGGGUCAAGAUUGACGCUCAUGCACGAAAGCGUGGGGAGCAAACAGG
rnacentral:rRNA from 1 species